GACGAACGCUGGCGGCGUGCCUAAUACAUGCAAGUAGAACGCUGAAGGAGGAGCUUGCUUCUCUGGAUGAGUUGCGAACGGGUGAGUAACGCGUAGGUAACCUGCCUGGUAGCGGGGGAUAACUAUUGGAAACGAUAGCUAAUACCGCAUAAUAUUGACUAUUGCAUGAUAGUCAGUUGAAAGGUGCAACUGCACCACUACCAGAUGGACCUGCGUUGUAUUAGCUAGUUGGUGGGGUAACGGCUCACCAAGGCGACGAUACAUAGCCGACCUGAGAGGGGGAUCGGCCACACUGGGACUGAGACACGGCCCAGACUCCUACGGGAGGCAGCAGUAGGGAAUCUUCGGCAAUGGACGGAAGUCUGACCGAGCAACGCCGCGUGAGUGGAGAAGGUUUUCGGAUCGUAAAGCUCUGUUGUAAGAGAAGAACGAGUGUGAGAGUGGAAAGCUCACACUGUGACGGUAUCUUACCAGAAAGGGACGGCUAACUACGUG
rnacentral:rRNA from 1 species